AUUGAACGCUGGCGGCAUGCUUUACACAUGCAAGUCGAACGGUAACAGGCCGCAAGGUGCUGACGAGUGGCGAACGGGUGAGUAAUGCAUCGGAACGUGCCCAGUCGUGGGGGAUAACUACUCGAAAGAGUAGCUAAUACCGCAUACGAUCUAUGGAUGAAAGCGGGGGACCGUAAGGCCUCGCGCGAUUGGAGCGGCCGAUGUCAGAUUAGGUAGUUGGUGGGAUAAAGGCUCACCAAGCCAACGAUCUGUAGCUGGUCUGAGAGGACAACCAGCCACACUGGGACUGAGACACGGCCCAGACUCCUACGGGAGGCAGCAGUGGGGAAUUUUGGACAAUGGGCGCAAGCCUGAUCCAGCAAUGCCGCGUGCAGGAAGAAGGCCUUCGGGUUGUAAACUGCUUUUGUACGGAUCGAAACGGCUCUGGUUAAUACCCGGGGCUAAUGACGGUACCGUAAGAAUAAGCACCGGCUAACUACGUG
rnacentral:rRNA from 1 species